UACGUAGGGACCAAGCGUUGUUCGGAUUUACUGGGCGUAAAGGGCGCGUAGGCGGCGCGGUAAGUCACUUGUGAAAUCUCUGAGCUUAACUCAGAACGGCCAAGUGAUACUGCAGUGCUAGAGUGUUGCAGGGGAGACUGGAAUUCCUGGUGUAGCGGUGAAAUGCGCAGAUAUCAGGAGGAACACCGGUGGCGAAGGCGGGUCUCUGGGCAACAACUGACGCUGAGGAGCGAAAGCUAGGGGAGCAAACGGG
rnacentral:rRNA from 1 species